rnacentral:lncRNA from 1 species
CAACACGGUGCAAGAAAGUUUGCAAAUAUGGUGCAAGCCAAUGCAGGGAAUCCAAAAAAGGUCAAAUGCCCUUGCAAAUGUUGCAAAACCCUAUUUUACCAACAUUUUGAUACAAGUAUGGGCAUUUGAUCAUUCAUGGGAUGGAUCUUACUUAUACUGCGUGGGUGUUUCAUGGCAAAAAAUCAAAUGCAUCAUUACCUCCUCAAGAUGUAGAAAAUUUUGAGACAUAUAGGAUGUAUAGAGAUGCAUUUCUUCAAGAUGACAAUAACAUAGAACUUGAGAAUAAAGAUCAAAAGAAAGAAUUUUCUAAUUUAUACAAGGGGGUUGAAAUUCCUUUAUAUCCCAGUUGUACAAAGUAUACAAGAAUAUCUACAAUCGUUGUAUUAUACAAGUUUAAAACUACGCAUGGUAUAUCUAAUAAUGGUUUCAAUGAAUUUCUUGAAAUAAUUCGAGACAUGCUACCGCAUGGGAGCACUCUUCCCGAUUCCUGUAAUUCAACAAAAAGGUUGUUGAAAACCUUUGAUUUAGGAUAUGAGAAGAUACAUGCAUGCGUAAAUGAUUGUUGUUUGUUUAGAAAGGAUCUAAAGGAUUUGGAGACAUGUCCAAAAUGUGCAUCUUCACGUUGGAAAGUUAAUAAGCGGACUAAGAAUAUUCAAAAGGGAAUACCUGCAAAAGUUUUACGAUAUUUUCCAAUUGUACCAUGAUUUAGAAUAAUGUUUAGGUCACCUGACACGGCAGAACAACUAAUAUGGCACUUAAAUCACAAAAGUCAAGAUGGAAAAAUGUGUCAUCCAGUUGAUUCAUUAGCUUGGGAGAGAAUUGAUCAAAAAUAGCCUUCUUUUGCAUCAGAACCACAAAAAUCUUAGGCUUGGCCUUUCGUCCGAUGGAUUUAAUCCUUUUGGUGACCUAAGUUCUAGGUAUAGUUGUUGGUCGGUGAUUCUAGUUACAUAUAAUCUACCUCCUAGGAUAUGCAUGUCCAAGGAAAACUUAUUAUUGACUUUGUUAAUCCCAGGUCCAAAGCAACCUGGAAAUGAUAUAGAUGUAUAUCUAAAACCACUUAGAGAAGACUUAAAGGAGUUGUGGAAUAUCGGUGUUGAAAUAUAUGAUGGACUUACCAAGUUUAUCUUCAAUUUGAAGGUUGUAUUGAUGUGGACAAUUAAUGAUUUUUUUAUUUAUGAAAACUUAUUUGGAUAUCCUACAAAGGACGAGGCGGCAUGCCCUAUAUGUGGUUUAUCUGCAUGUGUAAAAUGGUUGACAUAUAGUCGAAAGUUCGCAUAUAUAGGUCAUAGAAGAUUUAUUUCGUAUAAUCAUCAUUUUCGAUCGAAAGAAGCUUGGUUUGAUGGAAAUAAGGAUUACACGCCCAAUCCAAAAAUAUUAACUGGUCGAGAAAUGAUGGUUCAAUAAAGAAUGUUAGCAAUGAUUGGGGGAAAAAGGGGAAAAAAGGAAACAAAAAAAAUUAGAUUCCCAUUGGCCAUGGAAAAAGAAAUCAAUAUUCUUUGAUCUACCAUAUUGGGAGGUUAGUUUUUCAAACUAUUUGAAUUUAGUUAUCUUUUUGCAUAACUUUUUUUCUAAAUUUAUAUCAUUAUUUUCAGAUACUACUUUUACGUCAUAAUUUGGAUGUAAUGCACAUUGAGAAUAAUGUUUGUGAAAGCAUACUUAGUACUAUUCUGAAUAUGAAAGGAAAAUCAAAAGAUGGGCUCAAUUCUCAUAAGUAUUUGCUUAAUAUGGGUAUUAGAAAAGAUCUUCAUCCAGAGUUGAAAGGAAAUACAUAUUAAUUACCCGCAGCAUCAUACAUGCUAUCCAAAAAAGAGAGAGUUAUUUUGUAAGAGAUUAUUUGAUUUAAGAUUACCUAAUGGUUAUAGCUCUAACAUUUCAAAGUGUAUCUCAAUAACAAAUGAUAGAAUUUUAAAUCUAAAGUCUCAUGAUUGUCACGUGCUCAUACAACAAUUGUUAUUCGUUACAUUAAGAUGACUUUUACCUAGAGGACCAAGAAAUGCAAUUUUUUGACUAUGUGCAUUUUUUAACGAAAUAUGUCGAAGAGUUAUUAAUAAAAAUAAUUUAGAAAAGUUUGAGGAGGAUGUUGCUGUGAUUUUAUGUAUGCUUGAAAGCUUUUUCCCCCUUCUUUUUUUGACAUAAUGAUUCAUUUAACUAUUCACCUUGGGCAUGAAGUUCGUAUUGGCGGACCUAUACAAUAUCGUUGGAUGUACCCAUUUGUGAGGUAACUUAGCAUUAUACUUUUGUACUUAUUCAACCUUUCUUCUUCUAAUUAUUUAGGUCUCUCGUGCAUAUUAUGUGUGAAUUAGGUUUAUGAACACACUUAAAAGAUAUGUUAGAAAUCGUUCAAGACAUGAAGGCUGCAAAGCAAAGCGUUCUUUAGCCGAUAAAUGUAUGCAUUUUUGUAGUGGUUACAUGAAACAAGCUGCUAAGAUAGGGGUUCGAUAUAAUCGAAAUGAGGAUUUUGAGAAUGACACAACUAUUGAUGGACGUACAGUUUCUAAACAAAAGUUAGAGAUUUUGAGUCAAGAAAUGUUAGAGAUCGCUCAUCGUUAUAUGUUGUUUAAUAGUGCAGCAGUUGAACCGUAUAUAAUGUAAUCAAGUUAGUUAAUAAGUUAGUUUUACAUUGAUUAAUAUUUUCUCGCAAACUUGUCUGACUAUUUAUUUAUUUAUUUUAUUUAGGAUGCAUAUAGAGGAGAAUAAAAAUUCAAAUAGCCAUGCUGCCAAGAAUGAAACCUUAUUACAAAUGAAAAAUAUAGAGACUUUCACUUCUUGGUUUAUAGAAAAAGGCAAAGAAGACAAUUGUAACAUGUCAAGUACAUUGAAAUGGCUUGCACGACGACCAAGAUGUGAGGUGAUGUCACAUUCUGGUUAUGUUAUCAAUGGACAUCGAUUUCAUACAACCGAUGUUAGUAGAAGUAUACAAAACAGUGGUGUUUCUAUUGAGGCACAAACUAUAUGCCAAUCUAAUGUGAAGGAUACAAGUCAUGUAGUUGGUAAAAUUUCUUAUCAUGGUGUUAUAAAAGAUAUAAUUCUACUAGACUAUCAUAGUUUUAAAGUUCUUAUGUUUCAUUGUGAUUGGGCAAAUAAAGAUAGCGAAGUCAAGAUUGAAGAAAGGUUUUACAUUGGUAAAUCAUCAUAGAGGACAACAUCAAUUUGAAAGAGAUCCAUUUAUCUUAGCAUCACAAGCAAAACAAGUUUUUUAUUCUAGAGAAAGUAAUACGUCUAGUUGGUAUAUUAUAUUGAAGGCACCUCCUAGAGGAUUUCAUGAGUCAGAAAAUUUUGAUGAUGAUGCUUAUACUCCAUCCACAUUAGAUGCAUCAUUAAGACUUGAUAUGACUGUUGAAGAUGAAAGUUACGUGAGAUAUGACUGUGAUGGCAUUGAUAUUGAAUAUGGUAAUUGUAUAGAUUUAAGAUUCUCUCUUUCUUGCAUUAUAUUUUAUUGAUAUUACAUUAAUGUUAAUGUCUCUAAUUCUAUUCUUUCUUAAUUUAUUUAUGUAGAUGCAAAUGAUGAAAGCUGACUUUUGUGGAAACUGACGUGCAAAAUGACUGGACAUAAUAUGCAAAAUCUUGGUGAAGUAAGUUAUGAGGUUGUGUAUAAAGGUUUCAAAUGUCUUCAUGUUAAAUUUAAGAAAAAAUUAUGAUUUCUUAUUUGUGCAAUGCAGUCAUCUACUCAGGGAUACAAGAAAUCAAAAUGAGCUAAAAAAGCUUCGGUUGUUGUUGCCACAAGAGAAGGAAAUGAAGGCAUAAGAAUAUCAGAGAGAGGUUUUAAUUCUGUGCAACAUGAUGCAGAAGUCUUGCUAAAUAGCUUCAGUACUACUGAAAAAGGAAAGAAAGGAAGGGGUCGAGCAAAGUUGAACUAUCUCAACAAGGGAAAAUGUACAAAGUUAACUGUAGAAUUUAAUGAAAGAGGGCAACCAAUUUGUAAAGGAUCAAAUAAGUUAUCAUCGUUCUUUGGAACCACGGCUAGGGAACUUAUACCUAUUACAAAGAAAAAUUGGAAAGAUUUCAACGAAAGUUUUCUUUAUGACAUAUGGGAGUUUGUGCAGGUGAUAUAAACCUCACAUCACAUAUAGUGUAAAUUAAAUUAUUAUUAAUCUUGUGUAUUUUGAUGUAGCAAAGGUUUGAUAUUGACAUUUGUCAUAGAAAGUACAUUAUGCAAAAAUUGGGAAAGAGUUGGAGGGAUCAUCGAUCUGAUAUGCUAAAAACAAUCAGCAACAAAGGAAGAAAAAUUGGCAGACACGAGUUGCUGCUCUUCUCAAGCCAAAUAAUGUUGACUCAAUGGAAGAAUGGUAAGCAUUUGUCAAAUAACGCAAUUCUCAACCAUACAAGGUAUGUUCCAUUGCUCUUAUAUACUGAAUGUGCAUGUUAUAAGUUACUGUGGGCAAACCAGAUGAAUAUUCUUUUAUAUUGUGAAUGGGUAAUGAUUGUAAUGGUGUUACAUAUCCUUUCUAUAAUGAAUUAAGUUGUUAGAUGAUGAUUUCCUAUAGGUUCCUAGCUCUUCCUACUACUUUCACUUUCGUUAACAAAAAAGAAAGUAUAACACUAUCCAUAAUGUUGUGUUUAUACAAUAAUUUUCAAAUUUUGCAGGAAAAAAAUGAUAGGUUUAAAAAUAUGAGAGCUAGUCAAACUAUGUUGCAUACAACGAGUAGAAAAGGCUUUGCCUGCUUAGAAGCAGAAAUGGUAAAAUUUAUGUUAAAUUAUAAGUUAAAUUGGCUUGAAAAUUUGUCAAUGUGUACAAACUAUCAUGUAUACGAAAUGGGUAAAACAAAUUGCAGCACUUGAUUCCAUUACGAGAGAUGAUAUUUAUAUUCGAGGACGUAGGUGAAAAAAUGGUGAAUCAAUUAAUGAAUCAGUUGGAGAAACAUUGGUAACGAAUUUGUUCUUUGAAUUUUCUUCUGGUAAUUCAAAGUUUAUAUUUGCAUUACUUUAAACCAUUAAUGUAUUUCUUGAUAUUAGUAAAAAAUAAAAACUUGUUCAUAAACAGUUACCUCUCCAAGUAAACAAUCUCUCAUAGAUGAUGGUGUUGCAAGAAUACUUGGUCUGGAACGUCGAGGAUGAGUAAGAGGGCUUGGCUCCGGUGCAACUCCUUCAAAGUUGAAUGCUUUGGUACAAAGUCAGAACUUGCAAACUCAAGUACAAGAGUUAAGAGAUGAAAUUAAAGAAUUGAAAGCUUUAUUUCAACAGAAGAGUAAAAGUGUUGAACAAGAAAAUGUAAGUGCGAAACUAUCGUUACUGGUUGAUAUUCUAUACUUUAUAUUCUUUUCUAUAUUCAAAUUAUCAAAUUGUACUUUCAUAUGAAUUUUACAACAUAGUGAUAGAAGCUCGAAUGGUUUAGAUAAUUAUCAGAGUAAGAAAUGCAAAUUGUUACGUUGGUUUGGGAAAGCUAAUGUAGUUGCAAAAAGUGAAAUCGUAUCAACAAAUCCUUGUGAUCUAAUGCAUCAUGUAUCCCUUGGCGAUGAAUGUUGGAGAGUUUGGGUUAAUGAAGUUAUUGACAAUGUUACCUUAUAUCGUCCCACACGGGAACUAUUUCUUCUUGAAGAUGCAUUAAGAAGUACAAUUGCAUGGCCAAUCAAGUUUAUCAAAAUGGAUUAAUUGUAAGAAAAACAAAUGUAUGCUUCACUUGGUUUUUAUAUCAUUUUUCAUUUGUAUACUCACUUUAAUUUAUUAACUAUACAUUCAUUUAUUUUUGUGAUGUGCAAGGAGUUGCUUAUUUUUGGGACAACAAAAUUGCUGAUCAAAUUAAUCAAAAUCGAAGUGGAUCAAUUAUUUUGUACUAUUUUAAUUAUUUAUUUUUGGAUUAGUUGCCUAUACUUUUGAAUAUUGAUAUCAACUAUUUGAGUAGGCUAAUGAUGUUCUUAGUUCGUUUCAAAAUUAACUCUACAUUUUAA